AUGCCCUGGUCGUGUGGGGAGCGGUGGGACCCUCCAGGGGUGGCGGACGGUUGGCGAGGGGAGAGGGAAAGGAGCGGAGAGGGGUAUUCUCACACGGCAGGGGUUAGUGAUCCUUAUGACAAGUAUCUUCACGGGCGUCAGUUUAAAAAGACACUCACAAAAUCUCAGUAUCUAAAGUUCAGUCCUAUCUUUCGUAUCUGCUCUUCCCUUUAGCUAAUUGCACCUGCCCCUGAAAAUGAAGGAUCCACGAUCCACAAAACACGAUCAGGAGUUUUGUUGUGGGGAAAGCGUAGGACACCGAGAGCUCGUCAGAGCGCUCAGCCUCCUUACGUCUGCUCUUGUCUCACUAGCUGCCGGCAGGUGUCGGGGAUGGCGAUUCCACGGGCCUUUCCCUCCUGGAGCAUCAGCUUCCCCUGAGCAGCUGCCCGAGAAACUGCGUGCAUAGCAAUUGAGAGAUACAGUCAAAAGGACCAGGACAAUGAAAAAGAGCAGGAAAUAUGGACACCAGGUAAUAUAUGAGGUUAUCAAAGGCUAAUUUUCUAUGACCCUGUGAAAUGUUCUGCUCUUAACUGUUUGAUUCACUAUUUUUCAAAGAAUAAAAAGUAUGAAAUCCUUACCAAGUCAUGUAUUCCUUCCAACCCUGUAUUGUUGAGAGGUAUUGUUCUUUGCAUGAUUUCAGAUCAAGGUAAGUAUUGUUUUGUCAAAAAAAAAAAAAAAAAAAAAAAGGGAAAUAUUCUGAUUUUAUUUAUUUACUCAGUUGUAGCCACUGAUUUCCAGCACAAAUGCAAACUUAAGUACUCACUCUUGCUCUCCUUUUUCCUUACUCGCUGCACAGAUAACAGUUUUGAACUGGGAGCAAACACUGAUGGUACUAAAAAUACCACAACCUGAUGUCUGUCAUGGGCAGCUGUAUUUUAUAAUAUUAGCCUUCCCCAACCAUAUCUUUAUAGCUCACUACUGCAAAAUUCAUUACACGGUAGUUUAGUAAGUUGAAGAGCUCAUGGGCCACUGGAAUGGUUGAACUUUGUCUCCUUGAGAUAGAAGCCAGUUGUCAUUAUGUGGGUGAAAUGGCAAUGCUGACUCCUGUCCUCAAUUUAAAUUACAGCUAGAAUUCCUGUUAUGCUAAAACGUUUUGGCAUACAUAUAAAUAAGAUCAAGCACAGACGGGGUCCCUUCCUUUCCCUGGUGGCAGGGGAAGGAUUACUGCUGUAAAUCAUCAUUUCUCUAUACUAAAGCUAUUUUCUGUACAAAUUGGAGAAGACUCCCAAGAGAGAUGAAACCAAAGAAGGCAAACAAAAACGGUAUGUUAUAUAUUUUUAAGAAGCAAAUAUUACAUAGUAGUUGACAGAUAAAAGCCAUACCUGGAGGUGGUUAGAGGAAAAAUAUGCUAGAAAUGUUCAUCAGUCUAUAUAAUUAAGGGGUUUUGGCAGAUUUUUUUCUAAAUAUUUUAUUAGUGUGCCUGUCUUUUGUGGGUUUUGCUUUGCUUCUGUAGCAUGUUUUAACUUACUGGAACAGAUUUAUCUUCCUUUUUUCUGCCUUUUGUAUUGAUGCACCAUAUUAACAUACAAGAUAUGUAACAGUGAAAAAUUUAAAAAAAACCUACAAAUCUUUUUGUUUUGAAAACUCAUAUCAUUAAUCAGCACUCAUCUUUCUACUCAAUAGUAACUGGCUGUUCAGAUUUCCUUUAUAUUUUGGGUUUCUCAAUUUUCUUGUUUAUGAUUCGGUUAAGUUUUGCAUUUUUUUAAGCCUUUCAUAUGUCAUUUAAUGUAGAUUAUUUUCUGUUUUCCCUGGUUUUACUUUUUUGUUUCUUUUCAGCUUUCUUCUGCAGACUUGUGAACCAGAUCCUUCAAAAGCAGUUGGAGGUGGUAUUGGUAGUUCUUACAGGAAAACAGAUUUUUAUUACACAGCAUCAUUUGUUUUUCAGAGUGUUUCCUAGUGUGCAUGACUUAAUUUAAGUUCUCUGUAGAAGUCUGUUGUUCAGAUUAUGUGAAAUAACACUUGGCCUCCUGUGUUUAGCUGUCUGUUUAUAUAUAAUUGCUUGCCUUCUUGUUCUUCGUCUCCAAGUCCCUCAUGUGUCAUUUUUCAGUUGACAGAUAAAAUGGAAAAAGGAAUGGGAACGUGUGUAGUCACAGAGACUGGAUCAGCUGGAAUCUUUGCUCCUUUUUAGAGCAUCUUUGAAAAGCAUGGUACUGACGGUAGACUGUAAGAUUCAACUGAAAACAAAAUAUUUAUUUGCAAAUUCUCCAAAGGUGGCACCAGAAUAUACCUGGGGUUUUAUUCCAAAAGAAGAAACCACGGACUUUUAUAAGCCUAUGCACAAUAGUUGUCUCGCCAAGAUCCAAUGAAAUAAUAAAUGAAAAUUAUUAUUCCUUCUUAAAAUAAGGUAAUGAUUAUCAUAAAAAGAGAAUCACUGCUCACUGGGGGAAUUAAUACCAGUUUUUCUACUGGCUCUUAAAAGUACAUUCUGCUACAUGUUAUAGUGGCAAAUAUCAGCUGACCAUCAGAAUUUGAUUGGAUUAAAAAAUAGGUUCCCCUAAAAGCAAAACCUAUGUGGGAUUAAGGGUUUUUUGUGGACUCGUGAUGAUGCAUUUAGGGUUUUUUUUGUGGAGUCCUGAUGAUACAGUUAUGAGUCAGGAAGUUUGUACAUAGCAGAUCAGUGACCCAUUAGAGCUCCUGGUAUGUAUCUUUGUUGUAUUUUGAGGACAGGUAACUUAGGUGACACUUUAACCACGGUGGAACAAAGGUGAACAAAUAACAGAAUUUGCACAGAAAUUCAAACCAGGUUCCUACCGUUCUCACUUUGUAGCUUGCAGGAGUGGUUUUGGAAUCAGUACAGUUCCAUGCACAGCGACAGCUUUACGUUUACACACCUCCCCUCCCUCUUUCUGGUUUCCCUGAAUAUUUUAAUGGAAGACCUGAUCACCUGCCUUCUCAGUGGCAAAACUUUGGAUAGAAUUCCGCAUCUCUCUCACACUGACCCUGGGCUGUGAAAUGCCAUAUCCUAGAUACCAGCAGUGCCUGCUGAAAAAAUAAAAUAAAUACAUAAAUAAAUAAAUAUGUCAUCUGGGUUCAGUUGACAUUGUAGGCCAGCCAUAUGCAUAUGUAUAUAGCACUCAGACAUAUGCAUUUUAGCCCAAGUACUGCGAGACCAGGUAUUUGGGAAUCAAAUUAGAUUAGACUGUAUUCCAUUGCACCUCUAAGGUAUAUAAUGUAGGGAGCUAUUUUCCUUGAAGUGCUAACAAUGGGUCAGUGUCUCUUAAUUUUAUAAGGGCCAAAGAUGCCCAGUUUUUAGAGACAAGUCUCACAUGUUUGCUCUAUAUGCAUUAUUUGUAAAAGCUUGCAGGAGUUUGUGCAGGGAUGAUUAAUUCUGAAUUGCACUUUCCACUUGUUUUCCUUAAAAGCCUACUUCAUUCUGGAUGUGUUUGCUUUGAUGCUAAAAAUUCAUAUUUUUACAAAACAGCUUGUCUUCCCUCAGCUCUUUGCAGUGCUUUAGUCAUAUAAUUCUUUCCUAGGCAAAACACUGGAAUAAACUCAAUGUUAUUUAUGACAAAUGCUUUUGACAAAAUACAGUUGUUUUCUCAGCAGUUCUCAGUAUUAUGCUUCCUUGAGUAUUAGGCUGAUAUUUGGGCAACUUUGGUUUAGGGUGCUUCCAUCCAGGUAACUCUUACAUGGGUAUAUGGAAUGCUAUUUUUGACCUUUGCUCCACCAUGUAGUUAAUCAGGGAGUGACAAUAAAGAUUAUGUUCAUGAAUCAGGGGACUAAGGAAAAAUACACAACACAGAGUCAUUAGAUGAGAGCCAGCUGUCAUCUAAAAGCCAUGCAGCUAUUGUAAUCAUGCCUUUUGUUAGGGCCAAUGAACUUCUGCCAUUUUUUUACAUCUACUUGUCUGAAGCACCCACCUGUCAUUAAUGUCUUGUAUAAAUUAGUAAGUGAGUUUUUAUCUUUUCAAGAUGAUGAAAUGUGAGAUUUUGUUCUAGUUUCUUAACAUAUUUUAAGUAUAUAGGUGACUAGGAUUUUGUGAAGCUGAAUGUUGUACUUCAGCCCAGCCUUUCGUCAACUACUUGUUCAAACUGAAUUUCAGACUGGCCUUCUAGGCAUCUCUUACCUAAAUCAGGCAUUUACAUCUCUAUGAAUGAUGUACCUCAAAGUCCAAGGUAAUUUUAAUACAGAAAGUAUGGGAUUUCCCUGGCAUAUUCAGGAUGUAUUUGCUCUUAACUAAAACAAGAGAAUUCAUCUUUUUCACAUUAAAAAAAAUAACAGUGAUAUAUUUUAUUUCACCAGGUGCAAAAACAAAAAAGGCAAAAAUCUCUGAUCCUAAAAGUAAUCUGGUUGUGAUUAAAAAAAUUGAGGUAAGAUGUGGCAUAUGAUGUGCAUUAUAUUUCUAAAUUUUACAGUAGAAAUUGAAGGAAAAUGAAAGCUAGUAUGUUUCUUGGUACAAAUGAAAUAACCAGCACAGCCUGUUUCUGGUCUUGUCUUGUUACUCUGACAGACAACUGUUCUGCAGCGUGGUGGUGUGAGGGUUAGGGUAAGGAUAGAGCCUGGCUGUGGAGAAAUGACUUUCUUUGCUCUUGUUUGUACCUGAACGCAACAACCAGUUGGUCUUCACUGGGUAGCAACACAGUGUAAUGUGAACAGUAGAGCUACUAUUGGAGCUUACAGGAGGAGGAAUGUGUGCCAGUGCUUUUAAAUCUGUUGCUGUUUCACCAAUCUACUGAUGUUGGAACUUAAACAAUUUAGUAAGUUGAGAAGGAAGAAACAUAGAGAAACUUAGGAAGUGACCUCUGUUUUGUAGGCAAUUACUCACCAUAUCUCAGUGGGAACCUUAAAGGUGAAACAGCUUUGCAUUUUUUCUCCUGGUGAUCUACCAGUUGUUUGAUGAAAUUAUUACAUACAGUAUAUCGUAUUGCUUUAUCAAGUAUGACAUGGCCUUCUGUCAACUGUUCUAACAGUGCAUAGUAAAGAGAAAUCAUCAUCUCAGUUUAUUACACAAGACAUACUUUUUUACGGCUGAUGCUAGACCUAGUAAGUCCUUAUUAAGUUCUUGUGCUUUACAUAGUUUUGGUUUAAAUAUUGACAGACAUUUGCACAGCACUGUUACACAAAGUGUCUUGCUGUUAACUGCAGCUUAACUCUUCGGCAGUAUGGAGGAUAUGCUGUUUCUGUAACGUGGGAUUACCUUGUAAAGAGAUUGCCUUGUGACAGGAGCUAGAAAAGAAGGAUGAGGAAGAAGAAAAAUCCAAAGAUGAGAAAGAUGGAACAGAAGACAAAGAAGGUGAAGAUGAUGAAGCAGAAGAACCAGAGGAAUAUGAUGAAGAAGAGUAUGAAGAAGUAUAAUGUUAGUUUUCCUAUUUACAGAGUCAGAUCCUGGUCAUUGAUAAGUGUUGGCUGACAAACGUCCCUAGCUCCCAAUAAGGGAGAAUUGUUGUGGGAGAAAUUAUUACACUCAUGAUUUUUGUUGCACUACAUUGUAUUGUAAAUUUAAGUGUGUGUUCUAGACUUGUUACUCACAAAGAGCUCUGAAAAAAAGAUAAAGAACACAAGAAUGUGUUCUGACACAAUCAAUAUAUACUCCUUUGCAGCACUAAAAGUGCUGCCUCUUCUUUUAUAUAUAUCAGAACUUCAUUACAGGAUUUUCCUUCUUCAUUUCCAAGAAUCUAUUACUAUUUUAAAGUGUGGAUGCUCAAGUGCAGUUUAAAUCAUGUUUCUUCUAUAAAUUGUCUUCUCCAGAAUUGCAGUGAUUUUUUUUCCAUUGGUUUAAGAAAAUGACUACAUUUCUUCCUAUUUUGAAGACGGAGAUGACUUUGGAGCUGUCAGUGAUGACAAUAUGGAUGAAGCAACAUACUAACUGUUAUUUCUACAUGUUACACUGCUCAAACCUUAUGCUACUACUACAGAAGCAGAAUUCUGGAGGUAGACUGGGUAUCAAUACACCUAAUGCUUUAGCUCUGUUGGUUUUAAGCAGACUCUCCAAAACCACACUGGAGUUUAAUUGUACUGUGCUGUAAAAGAGGAUAGGGAAUCCUUUGUUAAGUUCUUUAGCCAAGUGUUUUGCAGACAUGCCUUUUUAAGGCAUUCUGGAAUGGCAGCUGAUGGAGUAAGCUUUAUGCCAUUGUGUUUCCUCUGCACAGAAAAAGAACAUACGCAUUUUACUUGAAAUUGUGUCUCAAUUUGCACUAGUCAAUUCUGUGCCUCAACAGUCAACUCUUGAAACAAAUAAUGAAAUUCUUGAUGACCAGAGUAAAAAAAAGACAUAUGGCCUUUAUGGACAUAAGCUGCUCAUUGGCAGUUGACUCCUCUGAAGAACUGUAUGUAACUUCUGAGUUCAGGUGACUGAAAAUAAUUGACAACUCUGCACUUUAACAUAAACUGACUUGGAAGGACCUUAGUAAUGUAGACAAACAACAUGACAGUAAUUUGAAGAACCGUUAGUCUAGUUAGAACACAUUGCCUUUAGUAUUUUGGUAAAAAGGAACACACAAAAAUAUAUUACUUUUAUGAAUCAGCAUAAAUCAUAAUUAAGGAUAACUUGGCUUAGAAAGACUAUAUGGCAGAAUUUAAGAAAUUAUGGAAUCCUGGUUUACACCAGUACACUCAUUAGUGAUGAAAAUUUCAGCCCUUAGCUUCAGUUUCUCCACUUGUUAGGGCAAUACUUUCUUAUCUCACAGAGCUGUUAAGUGAGCUGGCAGAUGAUCGUUAUCUAUGCAAUUGUUGAUGUACUUGUUUACUUUUCUACAGAACAAACUAGACAGAAACAGACAACCAAUCAGUAAGAAAUAAACCACAAAAUGGAGAAAAGGAAUGUGGUGAAGUAUUUUAGUGCAUUACGUUUUAAUUAGAAAAAACAAGAGAAUGCUGAGAAAAGCAAAACCUGAAUGUUUGGGAACAUCCUUUUUUUAUUUAAGAACCAACAGCUGAAGUGUUGAAAACUUACUACUGAGAUUAGAUACUUGAAGGACACUGUCACAGCACAUUCUCUGUAUCUUACUGUCUUUUGAUGGUAAAAAAUACUGUUUUUCAGUGUUAUUACAUUAUUACUGAUCAGGGUUUUUUUUGUUGGUUGGUUUUGAGUUGUGUUUUAUUUUCUUAAAGUAUUUCACCUCAUUGGUGACUGGGAAACAGUUCUGCAUUAUUCUGUGAACUUCUGUAUGCAGUAAGAAUUCGGUCCUUAAGGUGUAAUUUUCAAGUGUUCUGAUAAAAUACCUAUCAUAUGUAAAGGAAAUGAAACUAAAAUGCUGUGCAGGUCACACCUCAGAGGUGUUAAAAAACUGUUAAAAAUAACAUUUUUAUUUUGAAGUGUUGUUGACUACACUGUGUAAUAAACAUUCAGCUCCAUUGCACGGGCAACGUAUUCUGCCAGUUAAUCACACACAUAAGCAGUUGUUUCUUGAAUGGGUGUGCCUGUUUCUUGUGUGUGAUAUACAAAACACAGAAGAUGUGAAUGAGGCAAGCAUGCUGAAAAUUAAAUUCGCUUGCUGUGACUGUAACUGCUUCUGCUAGCUCUUCUCCCCGUGCAAGGUGAAUGGUGAGACUCCUUGCUUCCUAACACAAGAAAUGCAAAUAGAUGGCUUUUGUCAAAGACGGAACUAUAAAACUAACCCUAGAAAAGAGUUACUCAUGAGUAACAAUUUGUUGACAAGUUGUGGUUUGCCUGAACAAGUACAAUACCUUAUUCUGUAACAGACAGUAAUUCUUGAGGACCAAUUACUUUUUCCAUUAAUCAUUCUGCUAAUGGGCAGCCACCUUCCUGCUGAACUGUUGAAAAAUACUACUCUGGUAAAAAUCAGGUAUUUCUGAGACCUUUAAGAUGUAAACUGUAGUCAUGUCUAUCAUCCAGAGGGAGCUGCAGAGUCUUAGGCUGGACCCUCCGGGAUUAGUUUAGCAAUGGCAAAUAAGGCCAUCACUUAGGAAUGAGUUCUGCAAGGACACAGAUCAGUGCCAAGGCACUUCUGAAAAGCAGUGAGAUUGUGUUCUUCCAAAGGUGUAACACUUGCACCUCUUUUUAGAAGCUGAUUUUCUGACUGCUUAGAAUUUGUUGCAACACCAUAAUGACAAUAAAACUUAUAACUGUUCUUUGGUUUUCAGCAAACUUCAAGUUUGGACAUGCAUAUAUUCAAAUCCUGUAUUUAUAGCACAGAAGAAUAAUACUGCUUUCAGUGUGUAGUCAUAUCACCAUCUAAGAACUUCGCUGAUCCCUCCCUUAGUUGUUCAUACCUAUUUCUGCAAACUAACAAGUUCUCUGAAAUUUAUCCAGAAAAGUUCAAAGUUUACAAGGCAUGAACAAGAUAAACCAUUAAGGCUGCAGAUAUGGUAUGCGAGAUAUGAAUGCCAUAUGCAGCUACCACCUACAAAAAUACUUGCUGUCCAAAGGUUUUUAUUUUAGAUCAUACAUAAAAAUUGGCCUUAACAAAUACAAGUAGUGGCCUGCUGUAAUAAAACAUACAAAGUAUGUAGAACUAAGAAUAUAUUAGAUGCACUACUUUCACUGCAGUCUAAAAUAAAAUCUUUAUUUUACGUAGAUUGCUUAUGUUCUUCUAAAAGCAGAGGACCAGAAGUUUUUAAAAUAAGACUGCCAUCCUCACUCAGAAGUAUUUCACAAAGUUGUAUUUUCAGCCUUUAUAAAAGUUACAAACACUACUUGUGAGAACUUACUCCUAAGUAUAUCAUAUUAAAAACAUUUUGAUUUUAUAUGAUCCAACAGUGUAACAUGCAUUUAAGUUUAAAACCCACUUUUUGAAAAAUGUGUUGCAAUUAAUCCAAAAGGUGAUUUACAACUCAAUUAUUCUGUGUUUGUGGGGUUUUUGUCUUUUGUUUGUUCGUUUGUUUUGGGGGUUUCUUUUGUUUGUCUUUUGUUUUGUUUGUUUAACAAGUCAGUUUCUAAAAUACUAACUUCACAGAUUUUAACUUGAAUCAGAUUUAAGUUGCCCACACAGCAGCUACUCUAUUUAUUCAGGGCUGACAUGUGAUGAUGCAUUACCAGUUGUGUUGUACUUUGGAAAAAAGCUGUAAAGAUCCCUGCAUUCUGCAGAAAGCCAAGCCAGCUGACGCUUGUAGAUUACCAGGAUCAGGAGUCCGACAGUCUUGAAAAGAAAUCUACUGCAUCUUCUGAUAAAGUUAACUCUGUAUUUAAAAAUGUACUAUAUGAAAUAUUCUACAUAAUAUGUAUGUAAAAACAUGCCAGGCACUUGGUUAGAAUGGACUAUCGUCCAAUAAAACAGCUGUCCCUUUGUGUUUUUCCAGA